rnacentral:rRNA from 1 species
AUGAUGGUAACUGCCUUGGAGUGGGAAGAUGGCCCAUCUUGUGCUCUUUUCUCGGAGGGGACCGAAGACUAUGAGUGGAUGAAUCAAAAAGUAGACAUACCAGUCAAGCAUGUGCAGACACCAAAUGCUUCUAGCUCUGAUGUGCAGAAUUCAAUCCCAUCAGUGCCAAACUUUGACAACACUCCUCAAGUUGAAAGGCCUAGCAACCUCCCAACCGCAACAUUUGACACAGCUCCAAAGCUCCCUAGGGCAAACGACAUUCCGGGGCCUGUGUUUGAUGUGUCCCCCAUCUCAUUCAACAACGCUUCCUCCGAUGGACCUCAAGUAGUAGUGGAUUUGCACGAGACAACCGAGGCGAAUGUUGCGGUCAGGGGUGAGUCCAACAGUCUUGGUAAACAGUCAAAGAAGAAAAGGGUGGCUGUCUCCCCAGACAAUGUGCCAACGAUGAAGAAGAUUAAGGUUGAUGCACACGGUGAUGCCUUACACCAUCAGUAUGUAAUGACCAGAUACAAGACAAGAAAACCAAAGAAAAACGAGCUUCUGCCCGACUUCAUUGAAAUAGAUGGCUUCCGUACAUCUCUCGAGAAUUUUCAUGCAUCUCUAAAGCCAAGAGCAGAUAUUGACAAUGAGGUCAUGACCUUAUACCUGAAGACAUUCAACUAUGAUCAGUCAGUGAAGAAGAAGAAGCCAAAAAAAAUUGUUUUCUCAGUGUUGAUGAGUUUGAAACUUAGUGCUGAGCCAGAUGUGUUUGAUCCGAAGGUGUGCGAAAAAGAAUUUAAGAAUGCUUGCUUACAAAAUCACAUUUCAAAAUCUGACCUGCUAUUCUUCAUGGUUGUACACAAAAGGCACUGGGCAGUAGUAGUUGUUAACAUCACCCAAAAGGAGUUCAAUAUCUUUGACUCCAUUAGGAACUCGGAAGACCUUUUUGAGAUGGACAGGAUCACUAAGAAUGUGGUCGCAAACAUCAAGAGUGUUGCAAUGAGGGAGCCACUUUUUAAGCACAAUCUCGAGUCUUACUCGCUAUUCACCCCACUUGAUUACCCUCAACAAAAAACUUACUAUAACUGUGGCUACUAUAGUAUUUUAUACGUGGAGAAUUGGGAUGGCCUUGUUAUGCUGUCAUUUGGCGAGGAUUACAUCCCAAACCUUCGGAAACGCAUUGCAGCAGAUCUGUUGAGACACCCAAGCAACAAGUUGGACCCCGCGCAUCAGCUGAAGCUGCUUCUUCAGCGUUAG